UUUUUGACCUCCUCAAAGGAUAAAUAUCUAUUUCUGAAUUUUACGCAGCAUGUAGUAUGUAUGGACUUUGAAAAACUGACGUACCGAUCACUAUAAUUGAUGCAGAGAAGGACGGACCCGGCGCGAGUUUUCCCUGUGAAACAAGAAGUCGCAUGAAAGGUCAUUUACACCCUUCGUGCGGAGCUCCAGGCAAUGCGUAUCCCCGGAAUCGCCCCCCACCUGUUCGCCAGAAUGCUAUUUCUUAUAGUGCUUUGAGAUCCAGAACCAGAAGUUCUGCUGCUCCUGGAUCUGCGUAUUGCAAAGGAUGCCCGUACGGCCGUCGGGGAGGGGCAUCCUAGAAUUUAAUCUCGGAGAACAUGCAAGAUCUGUCUUCCGUAUCUUUCGUACAGCCGUCGGAGAGGGUAUCCUAGAAUCUAAUCCGGGAGAACAGGCAAGCUCUGUCUUUCUCGUGUGUAUUCUUGCGCUUAUAUAUAUAUAUAUAU
rnacentral:lncRNA from 1 species